GUUCUCUCUGUCCUGACAAUUUCCUCCUGUCUGCUCAAGGAUGGCUUUGUCCUGCCAAGCAGCCAUUACGUCACAUCGACACAAGCCCUCGUGUCACGGACACAGACGACACCUACCACACCACGAGGGGGCGCUGCGCACCAUUUACCAAGAUGAAAGUCUCCUUUUUUAUGGGACUUUUGCUUCUUGCUCUCAACAUCAUAGGACAAGGAGCUGAGCUCUCAGGGACAAGGAGUCACACGCCAAGAAGGUUAUCCUCGACACCCGCAAUACUCUGGAACUGGGUGUUGGUACAUCCGGCAUCAACAUGAUACAAAAGGGAAAUAGUGUUAAGCCAGUCACCUGGCUCCCAUUUUCAAGAAGAAAAAGCGUGGCUUCACCCAGGUGGAAGAGGACAGCAGUCUCGCAGCAAGAGGUCGGCCCUGACGCUGGACCAGCAGCAGGACGUGAACGUGGCGGACAUCGCGCUGACCUACAGCCUUGAUCUUGGUACCGCGCGCAGCAUCUUCCGGGCUGCUGAUGGAGACAGGAACGGCUCUUUAAACGGACAGGAGGUGAUAGCUUUCUUCGGCCUGAUUGACGGUGCCCUGGCUUCCAAGCGUGUGAUAAUGCCGAGGAAAUAAAUACAGUUUACAACCCGA